UGAUAUACUUGCUGAAGAUUGGAGGUGAU
rnacentral:piRNA from 1 species